GGGCGUUUAGCUCAGGGGGACGAGCGCUUCCCUGACACGGAAGAGGUCACAAGUUCAAAUCUUGUAACGCCCACCA
rnacentral:tRNA from 6 species